AGUGAACGCUGGCGGUAGGCCUAACGCAUGCAAGUCGAACGGCAGCACAGUAAGAGCUUGCUCUUACGGGUGGCGAGUGGCGGACGGGUGAGGAAUACAUCGGAAUCUACUUUUUCGUGGGGGAUAACGUGGGGAAACUUACGCUAAUACCGCAUACGACCUACGGGUGAAAGCAGGGGAUCUUCGGACCUUGCGCGAUUGAAUGAGCCGAUGUCGGAUUAGCUAGUUGGCGGGGUAAAGGCCCACCAAGGCGACGAUCCGUAGCUGGUCUGAGAGGAUGAUCAGCCACACUGGAACUGAGACACGGUCCAGACUCCUACGGGAGGCAGCAGUGGGGAAUAUUGGACAAUGGGCGCAAGCCUGAUCCAGCCAUACCGCGUGGGUGAAGAAGGCCUUCGGGUUGUAAAGCCCUUUUGUUGGGAAAGAAAAGCAGCAGGUUAAUACCCCGCUGUUCUGACGGUACCCAAAGAAUAAGCACCGGCUAACUUCGUG
rnacentral:rRNA from 1 species